rnacentral:rRNA from 1 species
GAUGAACGCUGGCGGCGUGCCUAAUACAUGCAAGUCGAGCGAACGGACGAGAAGCUUGCUUCUCUGAUGUUAGCGGCGGACGGGUGAGUAACACGUGGAUAACCUACCUAUAAGACUGGGAUAACUUCGGGAAACCGUAGCUAAUACCGGAUAAUAUUUUGAACCGCAUGGUUCAAAAGUGAAAGACGGUCUUGCUGUCACUUAUAGAUGGAUCCGCGCUGCAUUAGCUAGUUGGUAGGGUAACGGCUUACCAAGGCAACGAUGCGUAGCCGACCUGAGAGGGUGAUCGGCCGCACUGGAACUGAGACACGGUCCAGACGCCUACGGGAGGCAGCAGUAGGGAAUCUUCCGCAAUGGGCGAAAGCCUGACGGAGCAACGCCGCGUGAGAUAUGAAGGUCUUCGGAUCGUAAAGCUCUGUUAUUGGGGAAAAACAUAUGUGUAAGUAACUGUACACAUCUUGACGGUACCUAAUCAAAAAGCCACGGCUAACUACGUG